CUACGGGUCGCAGCAGUGAGGAAUAUUGCACAAUGGGGGGAACCCUGAUGCAGCAACGCCGCGUGGAGGAUGACGCAUUUCGGUGUGUAAACUCCUUUUAUAUGCCAAGAAAAUGACGGUAGCAUAUGAAUAAGCACCGGCUAACUCCGUGCCAGCAGCCGCGGUAAUACGGAGGGUGCAGGCGUUACUCGGAAUCACUGGGCGUAAAGGACGCGUAGGCGGGUUGGAAAGUCAGGUGUGAAAUCCUACAGCUUAACUGUAGAACUGCACUUGAAACUUCUAAUCUAGAGUAUGGGAGGGGGAGAUGGAAUUAGUGGUGUAGGGGUAAAAUCCGUAGAUAUCACUAGGAAUACCUAAAGCGAAGGCGAUCUCCUGGAACAUUACUGACGCUAAGGCGUGAAAGCGUGGGGAGCAAACAGGAUUAGAUACCCUCGUAGUC
rnacentral:rRNA from 1 species